CUACGGUGCUGCAGUGGGGAAUAUUGCACAAUGGGGGAAACCCUGAUGCAGCAACGCCGCGUGGAGGAUGACGCAUUUCGGUGUGUAAACUCCUUUUAUAUAGGAAGAUAAUGACGGUACUAUAUGAAUAAGCACCGGCUAACUCCGUGCCAGCAGCCGCAGUAAUACGGAGGGUGCAAGCGUUACUCGGAAUCACUGGGCGUAAAGCGCGCGCAGGCGGCCUUUUAAGUUGGAUGUGAAAGCCUAUGGCUUAACCAUAGAACUGCAUCCAAAACUAUCAGGCUAGAGUCUGGGAGGGGAAGAUGGAAUUAGUUGUGUAGGGGUAAAAUCCGUAGAGAUAACUAGGAAUACCAAAAGCGAAGGCGAUCUUCUGGAACAGUACUGACGCUGAGGCGCGAAAGCGUGGGGAGCAAACAGGAUUAGAUACCCGCGUAGUC
rnacentral:rRNA from 1 species